rnacentral:rRNA from 1 species
GAUGAACGCUGACAGAAUGCUUAACACAUGCAAGUCCACUUGAACUUCGGUUUGGGUGGCGGACGGGUGAGUAACGCGUAAAGAACUUGCCUCACAGAUAGGGACAACAUUUGGAAACGAAUGCUAAUACCUGAUAUUAUGAUUAUAUGGCAUCGUAUAAUUAUGAAAGCUAUAUGCGCUGUGAGAGAGCUUUGCGUCCCAUUAGCUAGUUGGAGAGGUAACGGCUCACCAAGGCGAUGAUGGGUAGCCGGCCUGAGAGGGUGAUCGGCCACAAGGGGACUGAGACACGGCCCUUACUCCUACGGGAGGCAGCAGUGGGGAAUAUUGGACAAUGGACCAAGAGUCUGAUCCAGCAAUUCUGUGUGCACGAUGAAGUUCUUCGGAAUGUAAAGUGCUUUCAGUUGGGAAGAAAAAAAUGACGGUACCAACAGAAGAAGUGACGGCUAAAUACGUG